GAUGAACGCUGGCGGCGUGCCUAAUACAUGCAAGUCGAGCGAACGGACGAGAAGCUUGCUUCUCUGAUGUUAGCGGCGGACGGGUGAGUAACACGUGGAUAACCUACCUAUAAGACUGGGAUAACUUCGGGAAACCGGAGCUAAUACCGGAUAAUAUUUUGAACCGCAUGGUUCAAAAGUAAAAGACGGUCUUGCUGUCACUUAUAGAUGGUUCCGCGCUGCAUUAGCUAGUUGGUAAGGUAACGGCUUACCAAGGCAACGAUGCAUAGCCGACCUGAGAGGGUGAUCGGCCACACUGGAACGGAGACACGGUCCAGACUCCUACGGGAGGCAGCAGUAGGGAAUCUUCCGCAGUGGGCGAAAGCCUGACGGAGCAACGCCGCGUGAGUGAUGAAGGUCUUCGGAUCGUAAAACUCUGUUAUUAGGGAAGAACAUAUGUGUAAGUAACUGUGCACAUCUUGACGGUACCUAAUCAGAAAGCCACGGCUAACUACGUG
rnacentral:rRNA from 1 species